rnacentral:rRNA from 1 species
UACGUAGGGUGCGAGCGUUAAUCGGAAUUACUGGGCGUAAAGUGUGCGCAGGCGGCAGAGCAAGUCGAGUGUGAAAGCCCCGGGCUUAACUUGGGAAUUGCGCUCGAAACUACUUUGCUGGAGUGUGGCAGAGGAAGGUGGAAUUCCACGUGUAGCGGUGAAAUGCGCAGAUAUCAGGAGGAACACCGAUUGCGAAGGCAGCUCGCUGGGACGUUACUGACGCUGAGACGCGAAAGCGUGGGGAGCAAACAGG